rnacentral:rRNA from 1 species
UACGGAGGGGGCAAGCGUUGUUCGGAAUUAUUGGGCGUAAAGGGCGCGUAGGCGGCUUGGCAAGUGGAUGGUGAAAUCCCUCGGCUUAACCGAGGAACUGCCGUCCAAACUGCUUCGCUUGAGACCGGGAGAGGUGAGUGGAAUUCCCAGUGUAGCGGUGAAAUGCGUAGAUAUUGGGAGGAACACCAGUGGCGAAGGCGGCUCACUGGACCGGUACUGACGCUGAGGUGCGAAAGCGUGGGGAGCAAACAGG